GACGAACGCUGGCGGCGCGCCUAACACAUGCAAGUCGAACGAGCGAGAGAGAGCUUACUUUCUCAAGCGAGUGGCGAACGGGUGAGUAACGCGUGAGGAACCUGCCUCAAAGAGGGGGACAACAGUUGGAAACGACUGCUAAUACCGCAUAAGCCCACAGGUCGGCAUCGACCAGAGGGAAAAGGAGCAAUCCGCUUUGAGAUGGCCUCGCGUCCGAUUAGCUGGUUGGUGAGGUAACGGCCCACCAAGGCGACGAUCGGUAGCCGGACUGAGAGGACGAUCAGCCACACUGGGACUGAGACACGGCCCAG
rnacentral:rRNA from 1 species